UUCGGCGCAGGCACUGGUUUGGCAAGAUGGCGCGCGGCAAUGAUGAACCGAAAGAAGCUCUGAAAGAUAAUAACGUCGACACCAGUGGACCUAGACGAUAUCGAUGAGAUUUGUGAUGAGGAGUGUGAGGCUCUCAGCCAAGCGAUGGAUAGAAUCAACGCAUGCCUGGAUGCUCUGGAGAGAAAGAACAACGCUUUAGUUCGUCAAAUGCGCCAACUGCUCGAGGAAUCGAAGCGAGCUGACAGCGGCCCGUCUGCGAGUGACGCUGCGGCGAAUGAAGAAACUGAGCAAGUUUAGCAAAAAAACAAAGUCGACAAGUUUCGCAGUCUUGCGAGGUCACCUGC